GUGAAUAUACGGCAAGUCAUCGUGGAUUGUCUUCUUUAUUCCAUACCACAGGACACCAUCAUCAGCCUGUCACGUUUCGGCCCGAUCCACUUUCCCAACAGUGACGGGUAAUGUUUACAUCUCUCCUGCUGGGAGACGCUGGCAGGGUCGCUGCCCUGCAUGUGUGUUUCAGGGAGAUUCGCUGCUGAGCUGUUUCCAUUGAAACUACUGGGAAAAUCUGAAAAUGCCGUCUUCUAGCAAAUCUGCUACCCUUCAAAAACAAGUAUUUCACCGACCGACUCGUCGCCCUCACAUGACCAGAAGUGAACUUUGAUGACAACCCAACAUGUUUGAUGACUCGUAAAGGUAUUUGCUCAAUUUUGCUAGCUAAAGAUAAAAGCAAACACAUAGUCUCACAAAUACAGACAAAAGAUACUUAUACACGCACCCACAUAAAAAAAAUUUGACUAACAUGACAACUGACAGUUAAAGUGGAAACAUUGAGUACGCAUAUGACAGCUUGCAACAAAGGAAAAGCAGAACGUUCCAGAUGCCUUGAUGCCCCCGCAAACAAAGGAAAAAGAUGCCUUGAUGCCCCAGCGAACAAACGAUCCAUGAAAGCGGUUCAAGCAAGGGCAAUGGCGAAAGCGGAUUGGUCCAGGACUCCAGCCUCUUACACAAUCUUGAGUGUAUAAAAGACCGGGCAGGGAAAGGAAGGGUGCUUUUUGCAGCUGCGCUGUAAUAAGACCCGCUUACUCAUAGGCAUACAGGGACUGCAGAUAAGCCCGGACGUCUGUAUUAGGAAUUGUUGUCAGGAAUAAACAAUGUGGUUCUCAUUUUUAUGAUUUGGUUCUUUAAGAUUCCCUUAUCCUCUAUUCGAAACCCACUUAAGGGAGGAUUUCUACACUCGCUGCAGUGAAAAUUCGCCCAUUAUUUUCUCGUCCUAUACUCCCAAAACGAAGCACAUCAUUCCAUGAGGGUUUCCCGUGUGGACUAUUUU